AUACAUGCAAGUAGAACGCUGAAGGAGGAGCUUGCUCUUCUGGAAGAGUUGCGAACGGGUGAGUAACGCGUAGGUAACCUGCCUGGUAGCGGGGGAUAACUAUUGGAAACGAUAGCUAAUACCGCAUAAGAUUGAAUAUCGCAUGAUAAUUGAUUAAAAGAUGCAAAUGCAUCACUACCAGAUGGACCUGCGUUGUAUUAGCUAGUAGGUGAGGUAACGGCUCACCUAGGCGACGAUACAUAGCCGACCUGAGAGGGUGAUCGGCCACACUGGGACUGAGACACGGCCCAGACUCCUACGGGAGGCAGCAGUAGGGAAUCUUCGGCAAUGGGGGCAACCCUGACCGAGCAACGCCGCGUGAGUGAAGAAGGUUUUCGGAUCGUAAAGCUCUGUUGUAAGAGAAGAACGAGUGUGAGAGUGGAAAGUUCACACUGAGACGGUAUCUUACCAGAAAGGGACGGCUAACUACGUGCCAGCAGCCGCGGUAAUACGUAGGUCCCGAGCGUUGUCCGGAUUUAUUGGGCGUAAAGCGAGCGCAGGCGGUUAGAUAAGUCUGAAGUUAAAGGCUGUGGCUUAACCAUAGUACGCUUUGGAAACUGUUUAACUUGAGUGCAGAAGGGGAGAGUGGAAUUCCAUGUGUAGCGGUGAAAUGUCGUAGAUAUAUGGAGGAACACUCGGUGGCGAAAGCGGCUCUCUGGUCUGUAACUGACGCUGAGGCUCGAAAGCGUGGGGAGCGAACAGGAUUAGAUAGCCUGGUAGUCCACGCCGUAAACGAUGAGUGCUAGGUGUUAGGCCCUUUCCGGGGCUUAGUGCCGUAGCUAACGCAUUAA
rnacentral:rRNA from 1 species